rnacentral:rRNA from 1 species
UACGUAGGGACCGAGCGUUGUCCGGAUUCAUUGGGCGUAAAGAGCUCGUAGGCGGCCACUCAAGUCGAAUGUGAAACCUCGAGGCUUAACCUCGAGCCUGCAUUCGAUACUGGGCGGCUAGAGUCUGGUAGGGGGAUCUGGAAUUCCUGGUGUAGCGGUGAAAUGCGCAGAUAUCAGGAAGAACACCAAUGGCGAAGGCAGCUCUCUGGGACGGUACUGACGCUGAGACGCGAAAGCGUGGGGAGCGAACAGG